AAAAAGCGCCUCGCUGCAUGAGCGGUCGCACUCAAGAGGGGCCGGCUGACGGCUAAACUGCAGUCGAAGCCAACAGUGGAACAGACAGAUGUAGUCGACGGCAGACGCUGCUGAAGACAGGCAGGUUCAUCUGACCAAAAACUGCUCAGGGAAAUGGCCAAGGACUGCUUUAAUGCCACGAUAUGAGACACGGAGAGAUGCACAUCUGAAUCCCUCAGUGAAGAACAGAUGAUAAUCAGACUUGCCAAGUUGUCAAAGCGACGUGCAAAGGGCUGACACGUACAGAUGCUGAAUUGCUGACAGAGGACAUCCGAGAGGUUCAGAGAUUGUUGGGUAUCUCCAUCUGUGAGAGGAAACUCUCCGCACCAUUCGCCACAGCGCAUCACGGUGGAUAAGGGAACAGCCGUAAAGGGAUCAGAGGAUCAAGCCGAUGUGUUUGGUCACGACUGAUAGUUUACUAGCCUCUAACCUUCCUCUAACACACCAGC